rnacentral:snRNA from 1 species
AUACUUACCUGGACGGGGUCGACGGCUGAUCAAGAAGAGUCGUGGCCUAGGCUAGUGGUCCACAUUGCACCUGGUGGAUGCGCUGGCCUACCAUCUCCCCAAGUGGGAGAGUGGACGUCGUAAUUUGUGAUAGAGGGGGUACGCGUUCGCGCGGCCCUUG